GAUGAACGCUGGCGGCGUGCCUAAUACAUGCAAGUCGAGCGAACAGACGAGGAGCUUGCUCCUCUGACGUUAGCGGCGGACGGGUGAGUAACACGUGUAUCACCUCCCUAUCAGACUGGGAUAACUUCGGGAAACCGGAGCUAAUACCGGAUAAUAUCUUGCACCGCAUUGUUCAAUAGUGAAAGACGGUUUUGCUGUCACUUAUAGAUGGAUCCGCGCCGCAUUAGCUAGUUUGUAAGGUCACGGCUUACCAAGGCAACGCUGCGUAGCCGACCUGAGAGGGGGAUCGGCCACACGGGAACUGAGACACGGUCCAGACUACUACGGGAGGCAGCAGGAGGGAAUCUUCCGCAAUGGGCGAAAGCCUGACGGAGCAACGCCGCGUGAGUGAUGAAGGUCUUCGGAUCGUAAAACUCUGUUAUUAGGGAAGAACAAAUGUGUAAGUAACUAUGCACGUCUUGACGGUACCUAAUCAGAAAGCCACGGCUAACUACGUG
rnacentral:rRNA from 1 species